rnacentral:rRNA from 1 species
AUUGAACGCUGGCGGCAGGCCUAACACAUGCAAGUCGAACGAGUGGCGGACGGGUGAGUAAUGUCUGGGAAACUGCCUGAUGGAGGGGGAUAACUACUGGAAACGGUAGCUAAUACCGCAUACCAUCAGAUGUGCCCACAUGGGAUUAGCUAGCUGGGUGGGUAACGGCUCACCAAGGCUACGAUCCCUAGCUGGUCUGAGAGGAUGACCAGCCAACCUGGGACUGAGACACGGUCCAGACGCCUACGGGAGGCAGCAGUGGGGAAUAUUGCACAAUGGGCGCAAGCCUGAUGCAGCCAUGCCGCGUGUAUGAAGAAGGCCUUCGGGUUGUAAAGUACUGUCAGCGGGGAGGCGUUACCCGCAGAGGAAGCACCGGCUAACUCCGUGCCAGCAGCCGCGGUAAUAC